rnacentral:rRNA from 1 species
UACGAAGGGGGCUAGCGUUGCUCGGAAUCACUGGGCGUAAAGGGCGCGUAGGCGGGUCUUUAAGUCAGGGGUGAAAUCCUGGAGCUCAACUCCAGAACUGCCUUUGAUACUGAAGAUCUUGAGUUCGGGAGAGGUGAGUGGAACUGCGAGUGUAGAGGUGAAAUUCGUAGAUAUUCGCAAGAACACCAGUGGCGAAGGCGGCUCACUGGCCCGAUACUGACGCUGAGGAACGAAAGCGUGGGGAGCAAACAGG